rnacentral:rRNA from 1 species
CUAAGUUUGAUGGCGACCGGCGCACGGGUGAGUAACACGUAUCCAACCUGCCGAUGACUCGGGGAUAGCCUUUCGAAAGAAAGAUUAAUACCCGAUGGCAUAGUUCUUCCGCAUGGUGGAACUAUUAAAGAAUUUCGGUCAUCGAUGGGGAUGCGUUCCAUUAGGUUGUUGGCGGGGUAACGGCCCACCAAGCCUUCGAUGGAUAGGGGUUCUGAGAGGAAGGUCCCCCACAUUGGAACUGAGACACGGUCCAAACUCCUACGGGAGGCAGCCAUG